rnacentral:rRNA from 1 species
AUUCCCCUCCUUUUCCUCGCACCGCCGUCUUCUUCCCACGCUCGGCCGAACCAUCGUCAUCAUGGCCGCCUCCGUUCCCGCGCUCUCCAUCAUCCCCGCACCCUGAAAACUUGUCCGUGAGCUCUGUCGUCGUCCGCCUUGUCGUCUUCACCCACUGGUUCCAGCCGGGAGCCCCUACAUCGAGUCCUGCUACGUCGUCUUCUUCCUUGGAUGCCGCUGGUCAUCGCCGUUCGAUUCGCCUCCACCGAGCCUCCCUCAAGCCCACUGACCCGCUCGUCGACCCCGCUACACCGAGACCGAUGCCGCUGCUACCCAAUACGACUACGGUGUUGACGACCCCUCUCUCUUGCCAGAGCAACCAG